UGAACGCUAGCGGCAGGCCUAACACAUGCAAGUCGAGGGGGAAGUUACUUUCGGGUGACUGAGACCGGCGUACGGGUGCGUAACGCGUAUACAAUCUGCCUUUCACUGGGGGAUAGCCCGAAGAAAUUUGGAUUAAUACCCCAUAGUAUAUAGGGACGGCAUCGUUUUUAUAUUAAAGCUUAGGUGGUGAAAGAUGAGUAUGCGUUCUAUUAGCUAGUUGGAGAGGUAACGGCUCCCCAAGGCGAUGAUAGAUAGGGGUUCUGAGAGGGAUGUCCCCCACACUGGUACUGAGAUACGGACCAGACUCCUACGGGAGGCAGCAGUGAGGAAUAUUGGACAAUGGUCGGAAGACUGAUCCAGCCAUGCCGCGUGCAGGAUGAAGGUCUUAUGGAUUGUAAACUGCUUUUGUAAGGGAAGAAUAAGGGCUACGCGUAGUUUGAUGACGGUACCUUACGAAUAAGCAUCGGCUAACUCCGUG
rnacentral:rRNA from 1 species